rnacentral:rRNA from 1 species
AGCGGGGUGUAGCAAUACGCCGCCGGCGACCGGCGCACGGGUGAGUAACGCGUAUGCAACUUGCCUAUCAGAGGGGGAUAACCCGGCGAAAGUCGGACUAAUACCGCAUGAAGCAGGGAUCCCGCAUGGGAAUAUUUGCUAAAGAUUCAUCGCUGAUAGAUAGGCAUGCGUUCCAUUAGGCAGUUGGCGGGGUAACGGCCCACCAAACCGACGAUGGAUAGGGGUUCUGAGAGGAAGGUCCCCCACACUGGUACUGAGACACGGACCAGACUCCUACGGGAGGCAGCAGUGAGGAAUAUUGGUCAAUGGGCGCGAGCCUGAACCAGCCAAGUCGCGUGAGGGAUGAAGGAUCUAUGGUUCGUAAACCUCUUUUAUAAGGGAAUAAAGUGCGGGACGUGUCCUGUUUUGUAUGUACCUUAUGAAUAAGAAUCGGCUAACUCCGUGCCAGCAGCCGCGGUAAUACGGAGGAUCCGAGCGUUAUCCGGAUUUAUUGGGUUUAAAGGGUGCGUAGGCGGCCUUUUAAGUCAGCGGUGAAAGUCUGUGGCUCAACCAUAGAAUUGCCGUUGAAACUGGGGGGCUUGAGUAUGUUUGAGGCAGGCGGAAUGCGUGGUGUAGCGGUGAAAUGCAUAGAUAUCACGCAGAACCCCGAUUGCGAAGGCAGCCUGCCAAGCCAUGACUGACGCUGAUGCACGAAAGCGUGGGGAUCGAACA